CAACGACGAAGAACCUUACCAGAUCUUGACAUCCAAUUGACCAUCUUUAAUCGAGAUUUUGCCUUCGGGUACAAUUGAGACAGGUGGUGCAUGGUUGUCGUCAGCUCGUGUCGUGAGAUGUUGGGUUAAGUCCCGCAACGAGCGCAACCCUUGUGUUUAGUUGCAAACAGGUCAAGCUGUGCACUCUAGACAGACUGCCGUGGACAACACGGAGGAAGGUGGGGAUGACGUCAAAUCAUCAUGCCCCUUAUGAUCUGGGCUACACACGUGCUACAAUGGCCGGUGCAACAGGCAGCGAAGGAGCGAUCCGGAGCGAAUCCUAAAAAGCCGGUCCCAGUUCGGAUUGCAGGCUGAAACUCGCCUACAUGAAGUUGGAGUUGCUAGUAAUCGCGAAUCAGAAUGUCGCGGUGAAUGCGUUCCCGGGUCUU
rnacentral:rRNA from 1 species